GACGAACGCUGGCGGCGUGCCUAAUACAUGCAAGUCGAACGCAGUGGGGACGGGUGAGUAACACGUGGGUAACCUCCCAUCAGAGGGGAUAACACUUGGAAAACGGUGCUAUACCGAUACUGAUGGAUGGACCCGCGGUGCAUUAGCUAGUUGGUGAGGUAACGCCUCACCAAGGCCAGGAUGCAUAGCCGACCUGAACGAGUGCUCGGCCACACUGUGAUGUAGAACCGGCCAGAACUCCUACGGGAGGCGGAAGUGGGGAAUCUUCGGCAAUGGACGAAAUUCUGACCGAGCAACGCCGCUUGAGUGAAGAAGGUUUUCGGUUCGUAAACCUCUGUUGUUAGAGAAACGGUAUCUAACCAGAAAGCCACGGCUAACUACGUGCCAGCAGCCGCGGUAAUAC
rnacentral:rRNA from 1 species